UCCUGGGUUCCCCCAAACCUCCAGGACCCUGACGUGGAGGAUGUUGUGCUGGCUGAAACAGUCUUUCAUCUGCUAGGCCCGAUGGCUGGACCACCUCUGCUCAUGAUGCCGUGAGACCACAGGAGCCAGGGACAACUGCUUUGGUGGUGGACUGACUAGUCGUCUCUGUCAUUUUGAUUGGAGAAGAAAAACUCCAGAUUGAUAAAAGUAAGAUCUGAUAGGGGGAGACUUCCUGAAGA